rnacentral:rRNA from 1 species
AGCUAUGGCCAUCUCACCCUGAACUCACCUAAUCUCAGAAGCUAAGCAGGGUCAGCUUGGUUAGUACUUGGAUGAGAGAAGUAGCUUGGGAGCUGUUCCAU